AUACGGAGGGUGCAAGCGUUAUCCGGAAUCAUUGGGUUUAAAGGGUACGUAGGCGGAUAGAUAAGUUAGUGGUGAAAUCCCGAAGCUCAACUUCGGAACUGCCAUUAAAACUGUCUAUCUUGAAUUUGGUUGAAGUGGGCGGAAUAUGACAUGUAGCGGUGAAAUGCAUAGAUAUGUCAUGGAACACCGAUAGUGAAGACAGCUCACUAAGCCAAUAUUGACGCUGAGGUACGAAAGCAUGGGUAGCGAACAGGAUUAGAAACCCCAGUAGUCC
rnacentral:rRNA from 1 species